GAGGGCAAGUCUGGUGCCAGCAGCCGCGGUAAUUCCAGCUCCAAUAGCGUAUAUUAAAGUUGUUGUGGUUAAAAAGCUCGUAGUUGAACCUUGGGCCUGGCUGGCCGGUCCGCCUCACCGCGUGUACUGGUCCGGCCGGGCCUUUCCCUCUGUGGAACCCCAUGCCCUUCACUGGGUGUGGCGGGGAAACAGGACUUUUACUGUGAAAAAAUUAGAGUGCUCCAGGCAGGCCUAUGCUCGAAUACAUUAGCAUGGAAUAAUAGAAUAGGACGUGUGGUUCUAUUUUGUUGGUUUCUAGGACCGCCGUAAUGAUUAAUAGGGAUAGUCGGGGGCGUCAGUAUUCAGCUGUCAGAGGUGAAAUUCUUGGAUUUGCUGAAGACUAACUACUGCGAAAGCAUUCGCCAAGGAUGUUUUCAUUAAUCAGGAACGAAAGUUAGGGGAUCGAAGACGAUCAGAUACCGUCGUAGUCUUAACCAUAAACUAUGCCGACUAGGGAUCGGACGGUGUUAUUUUUUGACCCGUUCGGCGCCUUACGGGAAAC
rnacentral:rRNA from 1 species